rnacentral:tRNA from 1 species
GGAGGUAUAACUCAGUGGUAGACCAUCUGCCUAGCAAGCACAAGGUCCUGAAUUCAAACUCUAGUACUGCCA